GCCGGGUGUGGUGGCGCAUGCCUGUAAUCCCAGCUACUUGGGAGGCUGAGUCAGGAGAAUCGCUUGAACCCGGGAGGCACAGGGGGCAGUGAGUCAAGAUGGCAUCGCUGCACUCCAGCCUGGGCUACAGAGUGAGACCCUGUCUCAA
rnacentral:SRP_RNA from 2 species